UCUGUGUUUUCUUUACCUCUUGCAAAAUGCAAUACGCACCGUAUGUAGAAAGUAUGUAAGAGAGUGUUAAAGUAGAUAAGCAAAAGAAGUACUCGUGGAGUAAGAAGAGAGGAUUCGAGAUACGGGAAUCUGGGGAAUUAAUUGAUUGCAUUUGUUACUUGUAUUACGUGAAAUAUUCAUUUUCUCUUAUGUGGAAUGACAAUGUAAAUUAUUUUGUUUAAUGAAACAUUUUAGUUCAACAUAGUCAACUGCUACUACCUUUAAGUUACCCUUGUUAUUCAUGCUCUAAAAAAAUAAAAAAUUUAGAGUGUGACAGUUGGUGACGAGGAUGUGAGCUUGAUAGGCCUGUCUCCCUACAUGCGCGUGAUGGUGCUCGAGGAACUUAGGAUUCUGCUUUAUGACAUGGAACACUCUCCUUGUUAGGAGCCUUUGGAGCAUAUGAUACUGUGUUGGCAUGAUAUGAUCAGUUGAAGGAAUAAUUUGUGUAAACAAGUUCAUUUGAGAAAUAUCUAUGCAUGCAAUUAACAAUUAAAGGUGGAAUCAUGCUUGUAUGCACUAAAAAAAUAAAAUUUUACCCAUGAAAUUCAAGGUCUAGUAGUUGUGGUGAACCAAGACUCAACUCAAAUGUUAAAGAAAAGAGUUGAGAAACUUUUAUACAUGUGAAGCACCUCUUUGCUUAGCAAAGGAUAUUCACCUAUGUGAGGGCCUUCUUUCCUUAGUCUCCUUGCUCCUUGGCUCUAUGGAUGUGGAUGGAGGAACUUUGCUUCUUGGCUCCAUGACUUCUUGGAUAUGGAUGAAGGAAUGGAUUCUCCAAGUUCCCAAGAAAGGGAACCUCUAAGUUUCCACACCAAGGAGAGCGUUGAGGAAGAGAUGAGUGACCUAGGAACAGAUGGAUGCUAGUCCAUUCUUCCUAGGGUGGCCUGCCUCCUUAGAGAAGAGAGAUCUUUUUGUGUUUUUCUCUUUUCUCUCUAGAAAACCCUUAUGAAAGAAUGGGUUAUAAUUUCCUUUCUAUAGCCACUUACAUUGAGUGACAUAAUUGAAAUUAAAAACAAUUCUCCCUCACACUCUCUAUGGCUGACCAUGUGGGUUCAUUGGGCUUUCAUGCCCUUUGUGUUUUCAAGUUGUCAUACAACUUGAGUUAUUGGACUUGACAAUCGAAGCCCAUUGGGCCUUGAGGCCCAAAACUAACCCGAGGUCUAAAAUGAACUUAUUUGUUUGAUUAAUUCACAUAUUAAUUAAUCCUAGCCAUAAAUAAUUAAACAAUUUAAUAAUCCUUACUCAUCUCCGUUGUUUCUUCAAUCUUUACCUUACACGGUGUAUGAUCCUUUAGAUUUUUUUUAGCGAGGCAGUGGGUGAUUAGAACUCUUCAAAUCAAUUAUGAAUUGAAACUUACUUUUCAAUUCUCCCUUUAGUGAUUAUACACCUUUAGGGCUUCCGCAAACCAUGAGUGACACAUAACAGUAUGUCAUGGCUACCCAAGCUAAUCAGAAGAGGUGAAGAACCUAUUCAGUUUGAGAUUACAAUGCAAUACAAUCUUUCUCUAAUACAAUACUCUUGACCACAUUGUUUGAUUUGAUAGUUUAUUCAUGUCUACCAUUCAAUGUGAUUCUCUUACUUAUAUGAUUAGCUUGAAUGUGAUUUGGAACGAAUUCCUAAAUCUCAUUCAUACUCUGGCUAGAGAUUCUUAAUCAUAUCAUAGAGUAUUCUCCCUUAAACGGUUCAAAGGUUAGAGAUCCCUUGUUGUGCAUUCACUUGCCUCUAUGGCUAAGUGGCUUAACCCUAACUAUGCCGUGGACACCCUUUGACGGAGUGACUUUGACAUAGUCAAAGAUCAAGGACGUAACCAUAAGAUAACUAUGAUGCCUCAUGUCAAAUGACUACUUUGCAUUAUCCCAACCAUGAGUUUUCAUGUGACAUGAGUAUGAGAACUCCUUGUUGAUCGCGUUCAGUGGACUCAUUUUCUAUUGAAUACCUAUAUGCUUGUCUUGGUGUCAAUCACACCAAUGACUCGAGACCAGUCACUCUCUCUAAGAGAAGACAUAGCACGUACUAAUCUUAAUCGACUAUCAAUGCCUAAUUGGCAAUCCUAUGAUCAGGAACGUUUAAGAUAUGUAUACGAAAGUGAAUAGUCUCAUGAAUCUAACUUCUUUAAAUCAUGUUCUCCCAAUUACAUAUUCCUGAUAGGAGCAUAUUUAUGCAACUUAGUUAAGCUUAUUCUUGUGCAUUUAUGUUGUUAUUUCUUAGUUAAUUUAGUAUUUCAAGCCAUUUUCGUGUGUUUGUAGGUCCAAAGGGUUAAAGAGGCAAAAAAGUGCAUUUUGGAGCUUUUGGAGCAUUUUUGGGCAUGAAAUGGAUGGCAUAUGAAUGGAGGAAGGUAGAUGGAUGAAAUUAAGACCAAAAGAGGCUAGAAGUCAAGAGAAAUCAGAAAGGAAGCUUGGAAGACAAGGAAAGGCACAAUUCAACCUAUUCCUACAAAGAUGGCGCCUUGUCUCCCUUUGUCCCCUCCUUGUCCCUCAUUGUGCCGCAUUUCCCCUUGCCAUGUUUCCCUAUUCCUAAACCAUGUAAAACAUUUCCCUUUUUCCCUAGGAUACUUUGGGACACCUAAAUCCUAGCCCUAGUGAAUGCCGCACCAAAUAUCCCUUUCCCUUACACGGCAAGGGAUCCCACAUUUCCUAUUUUCCUUGCCACAUUCUACAUUCCCUUUCCCGUUGGAUUCUGAAUUUAAUUACCCUUUUUCCUUGAGGAUUUCGUGUACAAAUCCUUCUCCAAAUUUAAUUAGGUCGUUCCUUUCUCAUCCCUAUAAAUAUAAGCCUUUGCUGUAGCCUUCCACCAUCCAGAAAUACAUCCAUUCACUACCAUACACAAUUCCAGCCAUUCUUUCAUACUAAUCACCACUAAAACCUUCAUCCAACCUUGUGCCGCAACAAAGAGAAGAAGGAGGACCCUUGGAGUGUUUGCUAUUCAAAUUUGGAUUGCUGGAUCAUUCUUAGGUGUAAUCUAUCUUUUGAUUUCAAUGUUUAAGUUUGUUUAUCUUUGUUUUGUGAACAUGAGGAGCUAAACCCCUUAUAGUUAGGGGGAAUUUCGAAACCAUGAUUAUAUUUGCAUUAUGAAUUGAUUAAUUCCAAUUGUGAUUUCAUAAAGUGUGAAUGCAAUUUGCUUAACUGUUUUAUUCAAAACUUAUUCUUAGUAUGUUGAUUAAGAAGGCCUACUUAAUUUGCAUGCUUGAAUCUGAUGCUAUGAUAUAAAGGAGUUUCAUAUAAUCAUUACAAACUUAUAUUCACAAGUAGUGAAGGUCGCUGGCCACAAUCGCGUUAAGUUAAAUUCCUAGCAUGAGUAUCAUGAUGUCAUAGUUACAAAUGCUUUGUUAAUGCUUAUGAUUUUCAUAGAACUUAAUGACCUUUGAUUGUAUCUCUAUUAUGAUGUGCAUGUAGGGGACUAUUGAAGAAUGCUUUGGGUUGUCGAAUGAUGUCAUCCAAUCCAAUAACUAAAGGAAAAUAUGAGGGUUAAUUAGUGAUGGCACGGUUAAUCUAGGGCAUUGUCAUUCGUGGUUUAUCGAAAAAGCAACUGGAGAUUGAUUUGUAUGCAUGUGUGUUUUGUGUGGAGAAUGACCCUCUAGCUAGCCCAUUAUCCAUUCAAAUCACCAAAUUCGUCCAAAAUAUGUUUUAAGUCUUUAGUUACUUGUUUUUACUUCAAAAUCGUCCAAAAUUCAAUCCCCUUUACUUUAGUGUGUCAAAUUAGUUAGAAUCUGUCUUAGUUUGUCUUUUUAAGUGUUUUGAGUCAAGUUAAAAUCAAGUUUCAUCCAAAGUCAUUCCUAGUGUUUAGUUUGAGUCUAUCUAGUUGUUUUAAGUUGUUUUGAGUCAUUCUAGUUAGUUUUGAGUAUUUUCAGUCUGUUUUGAGUUUUUUGAGUCUAGUUUAGUGCUUUUAAGUUUAUUUUUAUGUUUUUGAGUCAGUUUAGAGUAGAUUAGCAAUCUCUCAUAAUCUCCGGUUUAGAACGAUCCCUACUUAUCCAUACUACAAUUGUCAAGAGGGUUUAAUUUGUGUGUUAAGUUAAUUUUUGCAUCAAUUCCAUGGACUUAUAGUUUAAGCAUAUAACAUUUAUAUGAGAUGACUUUAAACAAUAAUCUUUGUCCUUUAUAUUAAACUAGAUUAGUUUAACAUGUGAAAUGUUCGUAAAGUAUCAUCAUAUGAUUGGCUUUAAGACAUUUUUCCAACAUCAGUGACAUAGCGACCCUAGGAGUUCAUGUGAGUUCCUUAACCGAGAAUGUGGAGAAGUCUUGCGACAUCAUGUUUGGGCUCUGUCUUGAAACGGACAAGGGUAUCUUACGCUAAUUCAUUAAAGUGAGUGAACUAGAGCAAGUCAUUGAGCUGCAGCCCAAAGAGUUAGAGGCUAAAAAACUUAGGUUAAAGAAGAUAGUUCACGGGAGCUCGAAAGAGAUAGCGGUUUGCCUUCAACUUGCGGUGGAUCAGUUGCAUGCCAAUGCCUCCAGCAGUUCUCCACAGAUGUAACUCACUACGUUUUGGUUGUUAGCACUUUCCUGACACUUGGUUUCUUUUUCUUGGCAGAGCAUGAAUCCUAUGAUGUUGAAAUAUCAAACCAUGAAGAUUUUGUUUCGUUACUUUUUUUACCUUUUGAUGAAAUUUCCUUUUGAACAGCUUCAUCUAUUUCUUUAUGGUCUGAUGCACUUUUGUUGAUUGGACUUGGUGUGUUGAACACUUUAUUUCUCUUUUGAUUUGAAUAUUAACCCUUGAUAUUGAACUUUGCAUGAUGUUUGGGGUAUUUGAACUUGCAAUGAUAUCGGUAUUUAUUUUGUAUAUGUUGGAAUUUGUUGAAUGAAAUUUUGUUAGGCUUUGAGAUACAAGUUUGAGCUUUUACUAGCUUGGAAUGAAAUCUAUGAUGACUUCACCCUCAUCUCCCCAUUCUUUAGCUUGCGGCCGUGGUGUAUCAUAGCUUUGUGGCUUGGAGUAUUUGCACCAGAAAGUCUUUUCCAUACUUUCAGAAGGUUCCCAAACUGCCUAUGGUGGCUUGUGGGGUGCUACACGGGUGGUAUAUGUCAUCAUCUCCAAAACAUGUUAUAACAACUACUAUCUUUUUCCCUUGACGUUUUGGUAAGUGGUUAGUGUCAAUAGCUUGUGCAUUGCAAAUGUUCAUUCAUAGAUCUUUGCAUGAAUAAUUUUUCUUGGAGUUUGGCAUGCUAUAGAGGGGUGUCCUACAUAUUGGUGGUAACGACAGUACUUGAGAUCUUUCCUACCCCCUAGAAGGGGCUUUAUACAGUCUAGGUGGUUUGAUAGCUCCAUCUGUGAACAUGGAACUGAGGAUGGCCUGGAAUUCCUCAUCAUUGUAUGCUAGCGAAUGAUAGGUUUCCCUAUCUCCAUCUCUUUUCUUCUUUUUUAUCGAGGAUUGUAGUCAGAUCUGUCAUCCAUGGCUAAGGCAUGAUGAGUUUCAUUCUUGUCGAUUUUCCAGAAUCUCUAUAUGGAAAGCGUGACUAACAUGCUAGUCUUCCUUACUACCUUUAUUAGCCUUGAGAACUAGGCAAUACCAAUGUUAUCUAAGUAUACCCUGUAAUCAGUGACGAUGUUGCAGAUAUAAAUCUCCACGAGUGCUUCAUCGUCUUUCUCGUCGUAGUAGUCAAGGGUAAGAUCUCGGAAAUGCUUAAUAAAAAUCACAAGAUCUUCCCGUGUUUUUGGCGUGUGCUGUUGAGCUAAGUUGUCGUGACUUUUUCCUUAUGCUAGAAGUACUUUUUACAGAACUUGCCUGCCAACUCUUCCUAGGUUCGGAUGGAACUUAAUGCGAGGGUAGUGUACCAAGUAUAGGCACGGUUGAUUAAGCUAUUUGAGAACUUCCUAAGACGAAGGUUGUAGUCACCAGCAUGAAGACCCAAAGUGUCAAUGAAACAACUUAUAUGUUCGUUAAGGCUACCUUUCAUCCUGUAAAAAAAGACAAGGUUGAGAGUUUCGUAUCCCUUAGGAUAUGGCAUGUAGAGAAGGCUAACUGGGUAUAUCGGUUCAGGAACAUACUUCCAGUCUUUUGAACUCAUGUUCAACUUUUUUUCUAGCAUGACAAUAACGUUUUCUUGGGUAACAAAGGAUGGCAUCUUUUUAGAACCUUUGCCUGUAGCAACAACUGACUUUUCUUGGGAAAUAUUUUCCCUAGGCGUGCAACCUUUGUCAUUGGCUUUCUCAUUUGGCUUUGGGAUUGAGUUUUUCAGCUCCUUCACAUAUGCAACAAUCUUUUUUUGGGCUUCACCGAGAGCAUGGAUCACUGCAAUGAUGUCUAGCAUGGUAUACUCGUCCAGGUUUUCCUGACUUUCCUGGUGUUGGCUUUUGCGUUGAGACUUAUUGAGUCGGGAAACAGCCUCGCCUACCUCUGAGGCGUUGCCACUCCUAGUUGUGUUUCUUUUGGACCUUGGAGCCAUUGAAUCAAAGAUUGUGACAUGUCCUUAGUGAAGUCGCCAAUUUAUGUUGGGGAAUUUUUAGGUCAAGGCGGACUUGGGCUUUGAGAACGUCAAUUGUCUCCCUUGGUUUGGUUUCGUACCAAGUCCUGGAAUAUCUCGAAAGAAUUAGCUUGUCUUAGGAAAUAUCCUAGUUAGAUCAAUGACUCAAAGAUUAGCAUGAUUAGCAUGAUUAAGUAAAUAAUGGCUUGCUCAAGUGAGACAUGGUGUGGAAGCUAGAAGUUCAUCCAUUUUGCAUAGAAAUUCAUCAACUGAGGUAUGGUGUGGAAGGUGUGGAAGCUAGAAGUUCAUCAAUUUUGCAUAGAAGUUCAUCAACUAAGGCAUGGUGUGGAAGCUAGAAGUUCAUCAAGUGAGGAAUGAUUCAUUCCCAAGGAAUAUCUAGUUAUGACUUGUUUCUUAAUCCCCAUUCUCCCUAGUUCUUCUGUUACCCUCUAUUUCGGUGCAAAAUGGCUAGGUGUUGCCAACCUGUGAAACCUGCAUCAUGCCUCCAUCCCAAGGCACUGCUUUCUCGAGUCAACUUCCUAAGGGCACUACUUUUGGUAAUGCACCUUAUGGCUUUCAAACGUUGAACUUCUGCAUAAGCUGGACAGGGGAAGUCAACCUUUGUCUUCAUUAAAUGCUGGUUUUGCUAAACUUUCAAGUGGCUUAAAGCUAAGAUUUGGUUUCUUUCUAAUCGGAUUGGUUAGCUUGCUAGGGAAAUGGGUAAACUAAUUGCUAGGGAAACGGAUAAACUAAGUCUAUUCUCUCUCAAUGCUUGCCUAUGUGGGCUACAAGGGUUAUGAACUUGGAUUUUUGGGCCCCUAAGCAGCCAAAAGUCCUCCAUAAUCUUGACUCCACAUGGGUCCAAUAAACUUCUGUAACCAUCCACGCUAUAAUUCACUUGACAAGCUCGAGUAUGUGACUUGGGUUUAUUUUAGCAUGACGAAUAGGUAUGUGCAUGGCGUGAUUAAUAUAAAUUCCGGUUUAAUAACCGUAGCAUGGCAUGAUUGUGAACAUAUUCCUUUCUUGAUCUCGCAUCUUUACAUGUACAUGGGCUUGACUUGGGACUCGCGUGAAAAUUGGCCUUCGAGACUAGGUUAGGCCUGCUCAAGACAUUUUUUGGGGCCUCAACAAACAUUUUUUGUGUUAGUGAAAUCACAAACAUGUCCAUGGGGAUAUUAGUUUAUGUCACCACUUAACACUUGUAACUUAAUAGAUGUCCAAUUUUCAAAAUAUUAGGUAGAUAUUUGAAAUGUUUUUAAAAGGUUAACAUAUCCAUGUACAUAUCGUACAUGACACACCCUGUUCUGAAGGAGGGCAUGCUGGCCGUCACGUGAAAGUGAUGUAACCAUUUAUACAGUUCGGAAGCUUUAAGAUACAAUUACUAAGAUGUAACACCCGAGGGUGAGUCAUACUUUUGUGAAUUCUAUCAGAACACCGUUGGAUUCCUCGUGGCCACCAAAGCUCUGCUAUCUUGAACUUGGAGGGGGCAAAACAAAGUUGAGUGGGUUAGUAAAACAAAGUUUUUCGAAAAUCAUCUCAUUAUCAAAACGCUAACCCUCGUUGUAAAACCCAUAUACUUUCCCAGAAAUAUGUAAUACGUAUACUUGUCUCAAAACCAUACUCAGAAGUAGUGAUAUGUGAAUUAUAUGCCAUGCCAAAAUAUAUAUAUAUAUAUAUAUAUAUAUCUCAUCAAAUCAUAUAAGUAACUCAUGCCAAACAAUAUGUUAACCGGAUCCACUUAUAGUGGCCUGUACGGCUGAAUCUAUAGCUCAUAAUCAAUCUCAUCAAUCUUAUCUAGCCGGAGUCAUUGCAAGUGACCUGUAUGGUACUACACUGCACACAAUUCGGAACCCUUGAAAAUGUCUGUGCGACUAAAUUGGGUGAAAUAUAGUUAUGCUCACGCUAUCCUCUUCUGAUAGCUCUACGAUAAAUCGCUAGUCACCUACAAGUCGGAACCACCUCUAAUGGUCUGUACGACAUGCACCUAAAUUGGAUCCAAUUGUGAGCAUAUGGUGCGGGGGUGACUAUAUAUAUACAGGCCUGAAUCAUCUCUACUAAAUCACAAUCACCCUAGUGCAGGUUUAUAAGCUUUCAAUCAUAUCAACUCAACAAUUACAUAAUUUAAUUUAUGAACUUACCUGACACUUACCUGUGCAUCCGCAGCACUAAUCAUGCAUGUAUGCAAUUACUAAUGCAUAAAUAAUUAGGCAUAUAUUUUGCAUGACAUUUCAUAUUGCAUUUCAUAUCACAUUUCACUUAAAUUGAUUUCCUGGGAAAAAUCUUGUUUAUAUAGGUAUAUACGGAAAACAAAACUGCCCACUCACCUGGAGUUCGCCCUACAACUCCCUAGCACAACACAUCAAGGUGUCAUGACGAUCGGCGCCUAGAAUAAUCAUCAAAUCAAACCUCAGAAAUCAUAUCGAUAGAAUAUAUAACUUAUAUAAAACACAUCACUAUGUAGUUCGAUCCGGAAGAUCUGCACCUCAGAUUAUCAAUCCAUAACUUCCAGAGGUCCACAAUAUAUCUCUAGAACAACAUCCUAAAAUUUCCUUACCAUCUAACGGUCGGAUCUCCGUCAAUUGUCAACACCAAGUGACGGUUAACAUUCUAUUUUAUGAACUUACAACUCCAAUUCUGGAAGAUCCGUAAAUCGGAUUCCCAAUCCGUAAGUUCCUAUAAUCCUCAAAUAUUACGUAUUACAACGUAUCAAAGUUUGGUGAUGAUCCAACGGUCGGAUCAUCAAUUCAUAUUUUCACCUAACCACGAAUCGUAACGAACUUAGGUUCAAUUACUCAAUUUACGUCAAUCAAUUAUCAAAACUGAACCUAGAACAUUAAACACAUGCUAAGAAUGAUAUUGGCCGGCCACUGGCCACGCGCCGCCGUAUGGGCCGCCUUGGCUCGCCGGAAAAUCCAACUAUCUCCAAAAAUUACCAAAAGUUACAGAAAUUAAGAUCUCAAUGAGUAGAGUAAACUUUAUACCUGAGGCCAAGACCAAUUUGGCAUGGAAAGGCUCCAAUUUUCUCAAACCCGUGCGAAACCCUAGAAUUAGGUGAGUUCCAAUUCGUCCUCAAAUCAUCUCCGCCGUCCCAACCAAUGCUUGGGCUUUUUUCUAGGCCUUAGGAGGAAGCUGGGGGUGGUAGUGAUUGGAAGAAAUUGCUUCAAAAACUGGAGGAUUUCGAACACAAACUCGCGGCACCCACGGGUGCGUUUUUCACCAUACCAACACCAAAUUUCAAGAUUUUUGGGGUGAAACAUGAAGAGGGAAGGUCUAGGUGUUGAUUGGGAGUGGUACCUUGAUCCAAUUUGUGAGAAAUCCGGUGAAAAUCGUCAGAAAAAUAGAUAUGGCUGCACGGGUACACGGGUUGGGGAAAACCCGUUUCUUCCUUUAUUCCCCUGCUUCUCUCCUUUCUCCUUUCCCUCCUUUCUUGCUUUUUGGAUUGGUCUAGCCCCUCUCACUCAUCUCCCUAUUCGGCCUCUUCUUCUUCUUCUCCGAUUGGGCAGCUUUGCCCAAUCUCUCUUUUUCUCUUUUUCUCUUUUUCCUCUGUUUCCUGUCCUCCUGAUGCCUUCCUCUUUCUUUUCCCAUUUCUAAUUCUAAUAACAACUAAUAAAAUAAUAAUACUUAUAAAUAUAUAUAUAUAUAUAUAUAUAUAUUUAUAUUAACCAAAGUAAAAGUAUUUCUCAGGUUAGAGCUCCGUAAAAUUUUAACCGUAACUUCAAAUCACGAACCGUCUGCGCCCACGCUUAUGUAGCGACGAGUACUACGAGGAUAUGACAAGAAAAUAAAUCUUAGAUGGCACGACACAACGAUUAACCUCGAAUAAGAUGCGUGCCUCAAAGGGCAUUUUUGUAAAAUCCUUUAUUAAAACUUUAAAAACUCUUAAAAUCAGGGACCGGCUGUGAUAGUACAAAUAUCGACGAUAAUAUCGGAAAAUAUCGAUGUCGAUAAUUUCGCUCACACUUCAGCAAUAUUUUGUCAAAAUAUCGGUGUAAUAUCGCUAAAAUAUCGAAAAUAUCGAUGUAAAGGAAGAAAAAAAGGGAAAAAAGGGAUGGAAAAAAAACACAAAAGGGAUUUGAACCCCUUCUAUUUUACUCCUCCAACACCGUAACCACCAUAUAUCACUUAUGUUGUAGUGAUAAUAUGCUAAAAUAUUUAUGUUUAUAUGAGUGGCAUGUUAACAAUUACAUGCAAAACUAUUUUGGGGAUUUAUCAUUUCAUGAAUACUCUUCACAAUAAACUUACUCUACACAUAGAGAUGAUGAAGAUAAUGAAAAUUUGGAACCUCAUAGGAACUUUAUGUGGCACUAAAUCACUCAUGUAUCUUACCAUGCAAUGUAUAAAGUGUAAAAUAUUGUAGUAAAUCAUUAUAUAUAAAUGAUUAUGGUGUGUUUAAUCUUUUUUUCGUUAAUUACUACAUAUUUUCUAUAUUCACAGUGUUUGCCAGCUCGCUGUAUAAUCAACUUAAAUCAGUUAAAUCCAUGCAUUUUCUUCUAAUUUUGUUUGAUAAACUAAUAGAUAAUUGACAAAAUAAACAUUCUCCAAAGUUUCAAUAAAAAUUUCCAAGUUUUUCUUACAAUUUCCAUGGUUUUUAUCAAUUUUUAUCGAUAUCGAUAAUAUCCCGAUAUUUCUAUUGAAAUUUUCAUGUUUUUGAACAUAUUUAUGAUAUCAUUGAUAUUUUAUACCAUGAUCGAGGCCUAUCCUACAUUUUUGAUAUUUUCAAUCCAAGCCCAAUUCAUAGAUCUCUAGAUUUUAUUCUUCCGUUUUCAAUCCAAGCCUAUCCUUCUGAAAACAACCUCUGUUUGCUUUCCCCUUCCUUCCAACUUCUAACCAAAACCCAAAUCCGAACGCAUCACACAAACCCAAAAGCUUGACCUUCUAAUCAUUAAUAGCUCCAAUUUUUUUUCUUUUUUAUAUAUAUUUUGCAUUCAAUCAUUAAUAGUGAUCACAAACAAACCAGGAUUUGAUCAAGCCUCACGAUCUUCAAUCGAUCAAUCCUCAACCGUCUGAUUUGAUGACUCCGGCGUUGGCAUUCGCCGGCGUUACUGGAGACCAGAGCUCCGGUGCACCCCCAUCAGCAGCAACAAGCAAACCUCAAUAUCGGUCAGAUUUCUCGGCCCUUCUCGUUUGAUUAAACUGGGUUUUCGUUGCCAGAUCAGUCCGAGCAAUAUUAAAGUUUGUCAAGCACCAUGGACUCGUCAAAUUUCGGGGAUGUACCUUCGAAUUCGAAGGAGUUAAACUCCAGUUUUAGCUUCAAUACCCCGCCCGUUUCGCGGCAGGGGUCGGGGCUUUCGAGGCCAAGGCUUGUGAAGGUGAGGAGGGGCUCGGCCUUUCAGGUUAUGAAGCCGGCAGCCUCCCAGGAAACGGAGUUUUGUCCCGGAUUUAAUCCGUUUCGAACGUCUUGCAGAGUUGGAAUCCAGUCUCAUCCGGGGCGGAAGCCGGAACUUCAGCUUCUGGGACAUUUGGGACCACUAAGACUGGGAACGAGGCAAAAUUGUUUAGGGCGGAUAGGAUUGAUCCGACUGUGAAUUCGGGGAAAUGGGAUACUAGGGGAGGUUUGGGGAAAGGAGUGAUUGAUGAGAUGAGGAAUUUGAAAAUUGGGAGCGGCAAUGAGUUUUUGAAUACCAAAGUGGGUUUCACUUUUAAUGCAAGAAGGUUGAAUUCAGCUCCGGGAUUGGAUAAAGGUGGUUUCGUUUUUGGAAAUGGUAAUAAGAAGAAUUCUAGUAUUGAUGAAAGCAUUGUGUCAAAGCUUCCCAAGGAUGUGGGGAAAUUGAACAUUGAAGGUGCUGAGAAGCGUGAAUCUGUCGAGGCAGGUAAGGAUCAAAAGUUUAAUUUCAAUGCUAAUGAUAAGACCAAGUUUGGGUCGGGUAGUAUUGACAAUGUGGGUGGUUCUUUGGGCCCAAACGUGGAAUCAGAACUACCAAAUGAGUUGAAGAAGAGAUUGAACAUUAAAGAGACCGUGCAGCUGGAUCGAAGUACUGACUGGCCUUCUGCCGAUGAUGUGAAUAAGUUUGUCUUUGGAAAUAGUAAAACGAUAGUUAUUCAUUAGCCGGAACCUCAGAAAAUGUACUUCCAGAUAAGAUGAACAAUCUGAACAUAAAGGAUACUUUUGAUGGAAGAAAAGGUAUUCUUCUGUCAUUUAAUCUACUUAACAACAAUUUGGUAACUUGUUCAGUACCUACAGUUUCAAAUAAUCUUAUUCUUAUUGAUGUAGAUCUGGCUAUGGCUACAGAACGUCUGGAUAUAAAUGAAGUUGAUGCAACAAACAGGGAAGCAAAAGAGGGCAGUUUUGAGUACCGUCACAAUGGUAGUGUUGAUGCUGAAGGCACUCUUGAAGGAUCUAUGUCCCAGGUUGAAACUGAAAGCUUUAAGUCUACAGCUGAGGAGUUAGACUUUAAUGGUGAUAACUCUCAUACUUCGGCAGAAAUUGAAGCCAGUUCAGGCUCAUACUUGGAGAGCCAUGAUACUGAUGGAAGGAUACACAUUGCUUUCCCUUCAUGGUCAGACAAUAGAAGUGGGUCUAACUUCUCCUUUGCUGCCUCUUCUGCUGCUCAAAGUCAAGUAUCUGCAUCAAAACGCCUCCAGAAAAAGAAAAUUCUGGUAAAAGCGGGUCCAGAUACCAAUACUGUAGUUCCAAAUGUUAAGAUUCCAUAUGCAUCAUCUUCUUCACAGUUUUUGCCCUAUUCUGGCACUUCAGCACAUUUGUCACUGGGACAUUAUCAGAAAAUAGAGUCAUCUAACCCACAACGCAGACAUGGAGAUAAUUCUGGAGUGCGUAAGGAACAGGAGUUGAAGCAAGAGACUACUUCUUUCUCUGCUGAAGCAGCCGCAGCUCAGGAAGCAUUUGAAAAGUUGCGACUAAGGUCAGAACUUAUAAUAACUUUAGUCAUCUUUGUCUAUGUUUAAACUCAUUGUAUGACGUUCCUUUUAGUUAUAUUUGGGCCUCUGUGUGGAGUAAUAUACCUCUGAGCUAAAGAGUAGCUUCUUUUUGUUGAAUGUGAAACAUUUCCAGGGGAAACCAAGCUUACUCUAAUGGGGAUCUGUCUAAAGCUGAGGACUGCUAUACACAAUGAGUGAAUUGUGUUUCUAGAAAUGAGACAUCUAGAAGCUGUCUUAGGGUAUUAAUGCUAUGCUAUAGCAACUGUGCAGCAACACGUAUGACUCUUGGAAGAAUAAGAGAUGCACUUGGGGACUGUAUGAUGGCUGCUGCAAUUGAUCCCAACUUCCUUAAUGUGCAGGUUAGAGCUUCCAAGUAAGUAUCUCUUUACUAUUUGAUAAUUUUUCUUUGGAAUUUCCGUUAUGAACUUCUGCACUAAUGCAGCUUCAUUUUUCAUUCAUCUAAAUUUCGGACAUAAAAUCGGAUGAGUUAUGCAAACAUCUCAUGAGAUCUAGUGCGUUUUUACUGACAGUUCACUUUUGGAAUAACCCAACCACCUGAAAUUUAUAUAUAUUUGGGAAAAUUUAUAACAAGUCAAAUAAUGGACUUUACAAUAUUUAAACGACUCUUGCUAUAAUUCUUGGUUAAUUUUGAAUAUACUUGAUUGCUAGACUUUUGUAGUUGUCACUACAUUUGCAAUAUUGAGUAGUUGUUCUUGGAUUUGGAUUGUAUGGUUCUAAAUAAGAUAUUUUACUGGCACUCAAAUUUCCACUUUUCAUAAUUUGCAUCUGUUGUUCUGCUAGUUUUGUGAUUAGUCAUAUUUGAUUUCCUAUUGAAUGCGCCUUGUCGCUUUAAUAUUUGAGUUCGGGCAUAGAAGUUCUGCGUCACAAAUCCGUAAUUGCUUUUAUUUUCAUAUAAUAACAUAAGCUUCCCUCAUUGCAUCUCUUCUUAAAAUUGUUAAAGCUGUUAUCUUGCUCUUGGGGAAGUUGAAGGUGCUUCACAACAUUUUAGGAGGUGCCUGCAAUAGUAAAUGAUGUCUAUGUGGACCGAAAGAUUGCAGUAGAAGCCUCUGAUGGCUUACAAAACGCACAGGUAGUAUAAUUUAUUAAAAACUAGUCUUUACUGCUUUUUAUGGGAUUCGGCCAGUAGUCUUCAUUUAACAAAACACAUAAAUUCUUAAUUGUACGUUGUGUUCAUGAAUUUGGUUUCACCCAGUGUGUGUGGGAUAGAGAGAGGGAAGCUAGCCAAAUGUGGGAUUCCAUGGCUAGUUGUAUUCGAAAAGUAGCAAAAGAGGUAUUAGGAGAGUCCAAAGGUUUUGCCCCACACCAAAAGGAAUCUUGGUGGUGGAAUGAGGAGGUACAAACAAAGGUGAAGGCUAAGAAGGAAUGUUGUAAAGCCUUAUACAAGGAUAGGACCGAUGAAAAUGGUGAAAGGUAUAGAAAAGCGAAGCAAGAAGCGAAGAAAGCUGUGAGAGAAGCUAAGUUAGCGGCUUAUGACGAUAUGUAUAAGCGACUAGAUACCAAAGAAGGAGAGUUGGAUAUCUAUAAAUUAGCUAGAGCAAGGGAAAAGAAGACAAAGGACCUAAACCAAGUGAGGUGCAUCAAGGAUGAGGAUGGAAAGGUUCUUGCUACAGAGAACGCGGUUAAAGACAGAUGGAAAGGUUAUUUUCAUAAUCUUUUCAAUGAAGGACAUGAAAGGAGUGCUUCUUUAGGGGAGUUGAGUAACUCAGAAGAGUGUAGAAACUACUCUUUUUAUCGUAGAAUCCGGAAGGAAGAAGUGGUUGUAGCUUUGAAGAAGAUGAAGCAUAGAAAAGCAGUAGGCCCAGACGAUAUACCAAUCGAAGUGUGGAAAGUUUUGGGAGAGACAGGUAUAACAUGGCUCACUGACCUUUUCAAUAGGAUUUUGAAAACGAAGAAGAUGCCAAAUGAGUGGCGAACGAGCACUUUGGUGCCUAUCUACAAGAAUAAGGGUGACGUACAAAAUUGCAUGAACUAUAGGGGUAUUAAGCUAAUGAGUCAUACAAUGAAGCUCUGGGAGAGAGUCAUUGAGCAUAGAUUGAGGCAAGAGACACGGGUUUCGGACAACCAAUUCGGGUUCAUGCCAGGGCGCUCAACCAUGGAGGCAAUCUAUCUCUUACGAAGAUUGAUGGAAAGAUAUAGAGAUGGGAAAAAGGAUUUACACACAUGGUCUUUAUAGAUUUGGAAAAAGCGUAUGAUAGGGUCCCAAGAGACAUUCUUUGGAGGAUUUUAGAGAAGAAAGGAGUACGAGUAGCAUAUAUCCAAGCUAUAAAGGAUAUGUAUGAAGGAGCAAAGACUGCCGUAAGAACUCAUGAAGGACAAAACCGAAAGCUUUCCCAUAACUGUAGGAUUACAUCAAGGCUCAUCCUUAAGUCCUUACCUUUUUGCGUUGGUAAUGGAUGAGUUAACAGGACAUAUUCAAGAUGAUAUUCCUUGGUGUAUGCUUUUCGCAGACGAUAUAGUGUUGAUAGAUGAAACUCAGGAAGGGGUAAAUGCAAAGCUUAACCUUUGGAGAGAAGUGUUGGAAUCUAAAGGUCUUCGCCUAAGCCGAUCAAAGACAGAAUAAUAUGGAGUGCAAGUUCAGUGCAAAUGGAGGCCAAAACGAGUUAGGGGUGAGGAUCGGAGAUCAAGAAAAUACCAAAGAGCGACCGUUUUCGUUUACCUAGGAUCUAUCUUGCAAAAGAACGGAGAAUUAGAUGGAGAUCUCAACCAUAGAAUACAAGCUGGAUGGAUGAAGUGGAAGAGUGCAUCCGGCGUGUUGUGUGACCGCCGUAUGCCACUGAAGCUCAAGGGAAAAAUUUUAUAGGACGGCAAUAAGGCCAGCGAUGCUGUAUGGCACAGAAUGUUGGGCGGUGAAGCAUCAACACAUACACAAAAUGGGUGUAGCGGAGAUGAGGAUGCUUCGUUGGAUGUGUGGGCACACGAGAAAGGAUAAGAUUAAGAAUGAGGAUAUCCGGGGUAAAGUAGGAGUAGCCGAAAUUGAAGGCAAGAUGAGAGAAAAUCGGUUACGGUGGUUAGGACAUGUGCAACGAAGGCCUACUGACGCUCCGAUUAGAAGAUGCGACUAUGGGACAGAGGUUCAGGGCCGAAGGGGUAGAGGAAGACCUAGGAAAAAACUUUGGAAGAGACUCUAAGAAAAGACUUAGAGUACUUGGAUCUAACGAAGGACAUGACACAGGACCGAGCACAAUGGCGUUCUAAGAUUCAUAUAGCCGAUCCCACUCAGUGACUUGGAUUUUCCAAGUCUCCAAUCGAGAAGUUUUCCUCACUCGGGAAAUUAAGGGAACACUACCCCAACCCUACAUGCUCCACUCAGAAAGCUUCAACAUACAAGCUUCAACAAAAGAAAAUUCAAAGAACUUAGCGAAGAAGGUUUUGGUGUAUUUAACACAAUACGUUGAAAUGAAGGAAAACUUAUUUAUUGAUAUCCCCGAUAAGCUACAAAUGUGUACAUAUACAUGAGUCAAAAUAAACAAACAAGAGGGAGCCUUCACAAGGGUUGCUUAGGAGAAGUCUCAGCAGUCGGUAGAGAGCCCAGAAAGAGAAGGCACCGGAGGGGGGAUCAUUCGGAACCUCAGUACUGGACAGAACCCUAGAAGGAGGAGGCAUCAGAGGUUGAUUAUUUGGAGCUUCAUUACGCGGUACAGCCCCAGAAGACGAAGGCAAUAAAUGCCUUUGGAACAAACCCACAAAUCUCUGAUGAUCAAGUAAAACCUGACCAUCAGUUUCCUUCAUCUGGUCAAGCUUCCUUCUUUCAUGUUUGUAGCAUAGUCAUGUGCGAGCCGGUGCAACUGUUUAUUCUCAUGCUUGAGCCCUCUAAUCUCCUGUUUGAGACUCAUCACCUCAGCCGCCAAUGAUUCAACUUGGCGGGUUUCGAGCAAAUAGGCGUUGGGCCAUAUUAGACACAGAACUUGCACACUGAACACUGAGAGCCAGCGAAUCCUUAACAGCUAACUCAUCAGACCGUUUGGAAAGUAGUCUGUUAUCUUUGGGAGUGAGAAGGUUCCUGGCCACCACCGCAGCAGUCAUAUCAUUCUUCAUCACGGAAUCCCCAACGGUAAGAGGACCAGUAGGGGAGACGAAGGAUGGGCGCCAUAUGUUGUCUGGAGAAGGCGGGGCUGCCUCUUCAACAAGGUUCAAGUCAAAACGACGGUCGGAGGGGCCAGACAUUUUCAAAGGUGUUGAAGAGAGAAGAGGUUGGACAAAUCAAGAUCUUAGAAGUGCAAGAAUGGAGCUUCUACUGGUGGAGAUUCAAGUGUGCUUUGGAACUUAAUGCCAGCCCCUAUAAAAAUCUGCACUCGACGGAUCUUCAGAAAUCGAAGAGGCGCCUGCUCAGAAAUCGAAGAGGCGUUUGCUUUCUCAAAAGCUGGGCUGCUUAGAGACCACGAGGGUUGAUCUCAGAAAUCGAAGAGGCGUUUGCUUUCUCAAAAGUUAGGCUGCUCAAAGACCACGAAGGCCGAUCUCAGAAAUCGAAGAGGCGCUCGCUUUCUCAAAAGCUGGGCUCCUCAGAGACCACGAGGGCCGAUCUCAGAAAUCGAAGAGGCACCUACUUUUCCAGCCUUGUCAGCACCUGUCACACGCACACUCAGCUUUGCGGAAAUAAUGGGCAUUCUGUCGAAGACUUCUGAGGAAGUAGAAAACACAUGAAUCUUACUGUUCAAUCACCCACUUCCCACACGCAACACUAGCUCAUGGGUACCACAGAUAACUUUGCCAAAGUUCUCUGCCAAAAUUGAGCACGUAAAGCUUGCAGCUCCCACUACAUCGCUCUGACCAAGAAAGGUAAAAGAAUAGCAAAGAAACAGUACUAACAAAGUUUAGACCCAUAAAUUUUGAAGGUCUAGCUACCAUAUUAUUACCCACAAAGGGUAAAGGAACAGUACCACUGCUGGAUAAUUGGAAAGUCCCUGUGUGUCAACCUCUGUGCUUCGUGGCAAGGUAGACUAGUAAACAUGCCCAACCUUUACUCACACUCGAGAAAACACUACCAAUAAGAUUGCUUGCUCCCAAAAUCGAAGAGGCACCGUCCUCCGAAUCUCGAGAGCCAGACUCCUAACAUGACUACUUUCUCAAAAAUCGAAGAGAGGGUAAAGGAACAGUACCAUUGCUGGAUAAUUGGAAAAUCCCUGUGUGUCAACCUCUGUGCUUCGUGGCAAGGUAGACUAGCAAACAUGCCCAACCUUUACUCACAUUCGAGAAAACACUCCCAACAAGAUUGCUUGCUCCAAAAUCGAAGAGGCACCGCCCUCCCGAAUCUCGAGAGCCAGACUCCCAACAUGAUUACUUUCUCAAAAAUCGAAGUGACACUGCUCCCCGAAUCUCGAGAGCCAGACCCCCAUCAUGAUUGCUUUCUUAAAAAUCGAAGAUGCAUCGUUCUCCGAAUCAAUCGAAGAGACGCUCGCUUUCUCAAAAGCUGGGCUGCUCAGAGACCACGAGGGCCGAUCUCAGAAAUCGAAGAGGCACCUACUUUUCUAGCCUUGUCAGCACCUGUCACACGCACACUCAGCUUUGCGGAAAUUAUGGGUAUUUCUGUCGAAGACUUCUCGAGAGCACAAACCACUUUUUCAAAGUGCUCUGACAGAGUUAAAACAUGUGAAGCUGGCAGCUCCCACUACCGUGCUAUGACCAAGCAGGGUAAAGGAAUAGCAUUACUACUUGUUGUUAGGGAGACUCCUAUAUAUGUCGACCUCCAUCCCCAACGGACAGGCAGACCUGCAAAAAUGUUCAACCCUUCCUCAUAUUUGAGAGGGCACUCCCAACGAAGCCUUUCGAAAUAUUCAGCUUUCUUUCCCCCCGAUAAUACCUUUGCAAACAAGCUAUACUAGAGCAAGAAUAUCUCAUAUCAUCAGGGUUAAAAGCAAGAGUAUCCCAUAUCAUGCUUUUUCCCUGUCUUUUCCUUUGGCCUUGUUGUUACCUGCAAGACAAGGAGAAAGAGAGCAAUCAGUCAGCACUUGGAAUCAAGCUUCCAGCCAGGAACUGACUGCCUGGAACCCCUUACCUGAUUACUUACCUGGCAUUGCUCUCGAGUACUCAUCUUCAACAUCUUAUGUUUCCAGGGAAGAUACCGCAUCUGCUUGAGGAACAGAUAGGGCAAGUGCGAAGGAUACAAGGAAGCAUGUGGAGACAAGCGUAACAGCACACGUGCCGAUACAUCCAUUACUCUGUCAAAAGCAAAAGUAUCCCAUAUCAGCAGGGUCGAACGUACUCUAGAUUUGAUGGACUUGUUUUGACCCUCAAAUUCUUCAGUCGGCUCUGGAGGAAAACCAGAAAACCCUCCAGCUCAGUUCAAGAAUAAGCCUGUGGAAAGUUACUUCUUCAAAAGCAAAAGUAUCCCAUAUCAUCUCUUCUCAUCUUUCUUCUCUUUAUCCUUCAUGCUGCUGCAAGAUGGGGAGAAGGUGAACAAUCAGCCGGAGCUCUGAUUGCUUACCUUGUCUGUCACCUCUUUCAGCAGAUCCCCUAGCUCGGCGACUUGGGAGACUCCUACUACAUGGUUUGUAUUGCGCUUGACCAAGCCUGAAACUACAAGUAAGCUUCAAGUGAAAUUGAUACAUUACCUUGUGCAUCUCCACCAGUUAAAGAUACCACCCCUGGAUGGAGGAAGAGUACUUCCAGAGAAGAUGCCACAUCUACCUAUGAGACAGAUAAGGCAAGUCAAGACGAUACCACACUCCGAUACUUAGAAGUUUCGUGAUUACGAGAUCAUUCUCUCACAAUAUUUCCUAAUGUCAUUUGUACUAAAUCAUUCACUUGUACUCACUAAAGGAGAGCUUGAACCUAUGUACUUGUGUAAACCCUUCACAAUUAAUGAGAACUCUUCUAUUCCGUGGACGUAGCCAAUCUGGGUGAACCACGUACAUCUUGUGUUUGCUUUCCUAUCUCUAUUCAUUUAUAUACUUAUCCACACUAAUGACCGGAGCAAUCUAGCGAAGAUCACAAAAAGCGACCGUUUUUGCUGCCUAGGAUCUAUCUUGCAAGAGAACGGAGAAUUAGAUGGAGAUCUCAACCAUAGAAUACGACCUGGACGGAUGAAGUGUAAGAGUGCAUCCGGCGUGUUAUGUGACCGUCGUAGGCCACUGAAGCUCAAGGGAAAAUUUUAUAGGACGACAAUAAGGCCAACGAUGUUGUAUGGCACAGAAUGUUGGACGGUGAAGCAUCAACACACGUACACAAAAUGGGUGUAGCGGAGAUGAGGAUGCUUCGUGGGAUGUGUGGGCACACGAGAAAGGAUAAGAUUGGGCAUGAGGAUAUCCGAGGUAAAGUAGGAGUAGCCGAAAUUGAAGGAAAGAUGAGAGAAAAUCGGUUCCGGUGAUUUGGACAUGGGCAAAGAAGGCCGACUGACGCUCCGGUUCGAAGAUGUGACUACGGGACAGAGGUUCAGGGCCGAAGGGGUAGAGGAAGACCUAGGAAAACUUUAGAAGAGAUUCUAAGAAAAGACUUAGAGUACUUGGAUCGAACGGAGGACAUGACACAAAACCGAGCGCAAUGGCGUUCUAGGAUUCAUAUAGCCGACCCCACUUAGUGGGAAAAGGCUUUGUUGUUGUUGUUGUUGUUGUUCAUGAAUUUGGUUAAUACAAUACUCAUCUGAACCCUGAUAAUGCUUAAACAUUUUCUCAUCUUUUGAAAAACAGUUUAAGUUGCCCACUGCAUAGUUUGUAGGGUGAUUGAGCCAAGAAAAAAUAAGGAGUUUUCCGACUGUCAAACCCCUAUUUUGGCUAGUAAGGGGAAAAUACUGGAGCAUCAAAGUUGGAGUCCAGAUCUGUUUGGGGUUCUUACUUAAAAUUGAAUCCUUUCUUUUCGUCUAAACUAUAUUUAUUUUGUCUAACGGCAUUGCAGAUUUCGAUUGUGCUCAUAAUUAUUGUUACUCAUGUUUGAUAGUUAAUUAUAUGGGAUCUUGUCAAAUUGUAGUUGGGAAUUCUUAGAACUUGGUAGUAGAAGUAAAAACUUGUGGGAUAGGUCAGAGGGACUUGACUUUACUUUCAUGUUGGUACCAAUGGAGGAUGGCCAUGGAGGUCUAGCAAAUGUAUUUGUAAAGGUUAUUAUUGAGUAAAGACUUGGUAUUGUUGGUCAACAGAAAAUCAAAAUUUGGUUUUGAAUUUCUUUUAGAAUUAGAUUCAUUAGAAUGAGUUUAUUGUGGGGCUGUUUUGCUGUUUCGAACAGUACUGAAAGGGAGAAGGUGAGUAUUUUAAUAGAUUUAAGGGUUAAAAACAGAUAUUGUAAUGAGAUUUGGGAAAUUUUAAGUAACCAUUAUGCAUCCUACCAACCAGUAAAUUUCAAAAAAUAGUAUAUCUGUAAUUAGUUUGAGACAUGGGAUCAAACAGUGUGCCUUUGUUACGUGCAUGAGCUUAAAACUCAACUAUCGUGUUAAAAUUUACACAUACUCCACUAAACCUCAAAUUCAAAAGGGAAGGCCUUUUAUUUGUAUUUCUCCUCAUUGGUGCAUUUUGUGAAUCUGAGGAGGAGAGUGUGGAUCAUGCUUUCUUCGUUGCUCUUGUUCUGCACAGUAAUGGUGGAAAUUGUUUCAGGGAGUUAUAGCUAGUAGGGUUGUCAACAUUGUUGUUUUGAGAUUCUAAGUAGCAAGUUUGAUGCUUUAGGAAGGAAGGAAGAAAGAAAGCUAAAGUUUUGGUGGGGUUGUUGGUGGUGGCAGUUUUUUGGAAUAUGUGGGUGGAGCGCGGUAGGAGAAUUUUUAGGAUUACAAGGGUGUGGGAGUAGAUGAAUUAUGGGACCUAGUUUACUGGGCAUCCCUGCUCUUUUGCCAUCAGUUUCAGAUGAAUUUAGUAAUUAUUCUAUAAUGAUGGAUGUGUUAGCAGCUGUGAAAUGAAUUCAGGUUUCAAGUUUUUAGCUUUUUGUAUCUGAACUCUAUUUUGAGAGGUCUGGUUUUGUACUAUAGGCUCGAUUUUUGGAUUGUAGGUAGUGUACCUAAACUUUGGAAUUGUUUCUGUUUUUAAUCAAAGUCGGUUUUCUUCAAAACAAAACCCAUUUGUUUCAUGCAAUAGUGAUCGCUUCUGGAUCCCAAUCUGCAUUGUUGUUUAAUGAUCUGAACUACCUAUAUUAUGUCUCAAUCAUGGAUCAUCUCUGAAAGACAUCAAUCGAAUCCUUCCAUUGUUUUAGACAUUGGAUUUUCACAGAGAACUGUUUGUAUAUAAUCUGACUUGAGGUUUUUAUUGCUGGCAGAAAUUGUCUGAACUCCUGAGUCUUUCUGCUGAACUUUUGUUAUGGAAGACAUCUACUAAUGCUGAGCGUGCUUUGGAACUUAUUGCUGAAGGUUUGGUAAUAAGCCCUAGCUCAGAAAAAUUACUUGAAAUGAAAGCAGAGGCUCUUUUUGCGGUUAGUAAUUUGUGUAAUUAUUUUCUGUAAUUGCUUUUGUGCUACUGUGAAUUUUGAUUGGGUGGAUUAAAACUCUUUAAGCAUUCACCAGAAACCCAGAAUGAUUUUCAGUCCGUUGUGGGUUGACUUAUAUGUUCCCUAACAGUUGCGGAGGUAUGAAGAGGUGAUUGAGCUGUGUGAACACACCUUUAGUUCUGCUGAAAAGAAUAACCUUUCCAUAGAGACCAAUGACCAGGCUGCUUGUUCGGAUGGUUCCGAAUUCUCAAAAUACUUUUACUUCAGACUCUGGCGGUGCCAUAUGAUUGUUAAAUCCUAUUUUUAUCUUGGAAAACUAGAAGAGGGUCUUGCGUCACUAGAGAAACAUGAGGAAAAGGUGUCUACCAAAUAUAGGUAACUUUUAGACCCGAUUUUAGAUGUUAAAUUAUGUUAAAAGUUUUGCUUUUGUUGCUUGAAGUUCCUUACACUAUUUAGAAUAUCCAGGAAUUGGAGAGAAACAGUGCAAUCAUCAGAACCCUUGUUCUCAUUGUACGUGAACUUCUGUCUCAUAAGUUAUGCUCAAUCUGUGCUGGGUUUCUUGACAAAGAUGUUUCCACAGAUAGUACAAUCCUCUUUAGGUGUACAUGUAAUGUAAUAUCACAGUUGAGUAGAAAUAUUUGAACUCAUCCCUCAUCUAUCUAUAUUAUUAAGAGAACACACCUUGUACCAGAUUAAAGAAAGCUUGGCAGGAUCCUCUUUAGCUGUCUUGCCACAUAACAUGUAAUUACAAAUAGAGAGAUGAAGUAUGUUGCAAAAGUAGAUAUGACUCUCUUAACCAUAUCAUGUUUCCUCAUAUAGACAGAGUGCUGUUCUUAUUUAAAAGGUCAUUUCUCAGACCUCAUUGGUUAUUCUGGUGGAACUUUCUCAUAUGUUUAGCACUUGCUAUGAUGUCUGCCUAAAGGUGUUUUUCUUGUCCUUGAGAUAUAUAGUAGUUUCUAGUCAUUCGAUUGCAGAUAUAUUUAGACCAAUUGCUUAUCUCAAACAAUAUUUGCGUUUUAAGUGGUGUCAGGGUAAAAAGUUGUACUUUAGUUUAUGCUAGGCAAUCUUCAGUGUCUACUAGUUUGUUUUUCCAAUGUUUGAUGCAUUUAAUUUUGGGAAGUGUUAUUGGCACUCCACAAAGGUCAACCUUUACUCCUACCUUAUAAAAAAUGAGAAAUUGCACUUAUGAGGAUUUUUUGGAGUACCAAUAACAGCUCCCUCAAUUUAUUCAUCAAUAACAGCUCUACUGCAUAUACAUGCUAUUUAGUGAUUUUCCUUUGCUAUUGUUCAUCACAGGCUGCUGGGAAUGAGGCAUUUCAGGGUGGAAGACAUACUGAAGCUGUUGAGCAUUAUACUACUGCUUUGUCCUGCAAUGUUGAAUCACAUCUGUUUACAGCUGUUUGUUUCUGCAAUUGCGCUGCUGCAUACAAAGCAUUGGGCCAGAUUACUGAUGCUAUUGCUGAUUGCAGUCUACCUAUAGCUCUUGAUGGAAAUUAUCUAAAGGUUUGCUCAAAGCUGAAGUUUCCUAACGACCCUUUGAUAUGGCAUUGCUCAUGAUUUUACUUAUUGAUUAGUUUUUUCAUUGGUAAAAGGAGGGUCUGGUUUUAUUUCUGUUUGACUGAUAUCAGACAUACACUUAGUCAUUAAGGGGGUGUUUGAUUGACCAGACUAGGACUGGAUUGUAACUUUUAUACGUGGGCUUAUUUUAGGCCAACCUAAGCCAAACUAAUCCAAGCCAAUCCCUACAGUUAGUCCAAGACAAGCCAUCCAAUGUACCAAACUUUCUGUAAGUGUAUUAGCACCUCUAAUCAAUUUAUAUUUUCUUAGUGAUGCAGUCUUCCACCUAUUUUUAUGUGUUUGUUCUGUUUUUUCCCGUGGACAUGCAGUAAAUGGAUCCUCAUUAAUUUUCAGGGAAAUCUUAUAACAUUUCAUUAUUUUCUAUUUCAAUUUGCAAUGCAAAACAUCUAAAUUUCCAAGAAUAUCACGUUUUAAUUUCAGAUUCCUGUAUCCUUAAUCUCAAAUUUGUGGUCAAAUUUUGAUACAAGAGUUUUAGUUAAUCCUUGAGAAUUUAAGAUAUCUAUAUAGCUCCACUUGAAGAUCUUCUUAGGAAAAAAGAUUGAAAUGAAGAAAAUUUUCAAUCAGUACGGUUUUGACACCAUUUUGGACAUCCAUUAUAGAGUUUAAUUUCUAAUUAAUAAGUUCUCCCAUAUCUACUGGUCUGUGUAAACAUCAAUCUCUAAGUGUAGCUUCUCCAUUGUUACAUCUUUAUAGACUUCAGAAAUCUGGUGUGCGUUGCUCAGGUUUCCUCUUGUAUUGGGUUAGGUUAUACUUUAGUUUGAAUAUCAGUUUCCUAUCUCGAAUCAACAUUGGGUAGAUGUAUAGAACACACCCUAACAGUGCUUCACAGACAAUAUUUACCAAAUUCAAACUGGAUUUGACCACAGAAAUGCUCCUUGGUGAUUAAUGUUUUAUAAGGAUAUACAAUAGUUACGGGUGUUUAAUAUUUGAAGUCUAUGGGUUGUUUUUGUUGGGGAUGGAAGAAGGCUUUCACUAAUACAAUGGAGUUGUCAUUCCUAUAUAUAUAGUUGAUUUUCCGGUGGCAAAUUGCAUUCUAGAACACUUAUUUUCUUCGAUUGGGUCCUCUAGUAUGUUAUGUUGGUGUUCCCAUGCAGGCUAUUUCUAGACGAGCCACAUUAUUUGAGAUGAUCAGAGAUUAUGGACAAGCUGCUAAGGAUCUUCAGAGACUUGUAUCUAUUCUCACUAAGCAGGUAGAGGAAAAAACCAAUGUGUGGAACAUCUGACAGAUCCAUUAGCAGCACAAGUGACAUGAGACAAGCUCGUCUUCGUCUUUCUGAAAUAGAAGAAGACAGAAGGGACAUCCCCUUGGAUAUGUACCUUAUUCUGUGAGUUUAUCUGCCUAUAUUUGUUUCCGGCAUAUGGUUGCAAACUGGCCCCUCUUUCGGGCGUUUACAUGAUCACUGCUAGACUAUACAGUAAAAUCUUUUGUUGAGGUUGAGUAGUUAUACAUUCAUGUGGGUGCACUGAGUAAUUAACUGUAGCUGUUGAAGCUGAGGAAAGAAAUUGUUUAAAUUAUGGGUGCUUCAUUGACGUCCAUCUUGUUCACAUUAGUAAAGUAUUCCUCUGUUGUUUUAAUGGCCAAGCAUCAAAAACUUCUUCAGAGGGUAGUUUAAGCAAUUUUAAAAAAUGAAAAGUAAAAAAGCUGGCUUUACGGCGAAGUUCAUGGGAAAGCCUAUGCCAGAAGCAGGGAGAACACUGUCUAGAGACUUGAUCUCAAAUUUGUGACUGUCAUGAAAAGAUAGACCGAGAUUAUCAUGCUUAACAGUGAAGCUGCUUUCUGAUAAUUCCAUGAACUAAAAUAAAUAAUUAAUUAUUUACAACAAGCUCUUUGUUAAUGCUCCAUGCUCUGAAUGGUUGGAAGUAUGAAGAAUCCAUGCAAUCUGAGAAAUACUUGCAUGCCUUUUAUGAUUCUACCAGAAAGAAAUUUGUAGUUUUUAAGGCAGUUUAGUUCGGAGUAAAAUUGAUUGAAACUAUCACUUUUAAGUUUUUUCGGUUAUAAUGGUAGGGGAGUCGAACCAUCUGUUUCAGCAUCAGAAAUCAAGAAGGCCUAUCGGAAAGCUGACUGAGACAUCAUCCUGACAAGGUAUGUAAUAUUUUCUGAUUUGUUGCUUGCUAACUGCUAUUCACCGUUUAACAUGUUCUUUUAUAGGCUGGUCAGUUGUUUUCAAAGAGCGAUAAUGGUGAUGAUGGGCGUUGGAAGGAGAUAGCAGAAGAAGUGCACAAGGAUGCUGACAAGCUUUUUAAAAUGAUUGGGGAGGCAUAUGCGGUACUUUCAGACCCUACCAAGGUCUGAACACACCUUGGCAGUAGUUCUUUAUUUAUCGCUCAGAUAAACAAGUUUUUUGGCAGCACCUUAUCCAAAAAAAAAAAAAAAAAAGGAUUAGAACUUUUUGUUCUUGUUAUCAUCUUUCUUAAUUGAGUUAUCAGAGAUUUUUGUCCUCUUAGUCAUUGGUAUAGUAUGGUUUUGAAACUCAUUUUGCAGCGAUCAAGGUAUGACACCGAAGAAGAGAUGAGGAAUGCACAGAAGAAACGCGGUGGAAGCAGCACAUCUAGAAUGCCUGCAGAUGUUCAGAGUUUACCCAUUUGAAAGAAGUAGCAGUAGGCGACAGUGGAGAGGUUUGGAGAUCAUAUGGCAACUCAUCUUCUAGAGAUAUUGAUGAAAACAUUGCCUGAUUCGAACCUUGAUUCUUCAGAAGAGGUUUUGAACGGGACGAGGUCAGAAGAUGGAUGUGUCGAGUUGCUACAUCUGUGGCUUCCCUUCAAGGAUCAACCGGCGUGUGCAAUUGGAUUCUACCUCCACACUCAUCUUCAGAAAUCCCUUUAAUUUUACAAACUUGAGAGCAUGCUGUAACGCUAACGCCUCAACCACAAAAAAUGUAUAUUCUCCAAAAUUCCUAGCACCAACAAUAAUAGGACAACCAAGCUCAUUUUGAAUCACAAAAAAUUGCUGCACCAAAACUUCCAAAAACAUACCCAUUAAGUAUAAGUAGACACUUAUUUAUAUGGUAAAUAAUAAAUUAAAUUAAAUUAAACAAUUGUGGAGGCGCAUGCCCUCCUCGCAGCCCAUCUUCUGCCUAGCAAUAUUUAGAAUCAUGUUCCAAUCUUUUUUUAAAAUGAUAAAAUAGUUAUCAUCUACUUUAAGUAUACCUUAAAUCAAAUAUUAGAGAUCAAAUGGGGCUUAAAUUAUGUUAUGUAUGUUGGAAAAUAAAAACGAAAGUAUUUAGGAUUUCAUUUAAUUAGUGAUUUUAUAUAAUUUAAUUAGUUAGGAUUUGAUUUAAUCAGUGAUUUUAUAUGAUUUAAUUAGGGUUUUGAUAUGAUUUGGUCUAGGUUUCCUUGUCUGGUAGACAAAUGAUUGUUUUGAUUUAUUUCCUAGUAUUGCUCCUUUGUAAUCUUAUAAAUACCUCCUUAUGGAGAAGAAUAAAUUAUUGAAGUAGUAUUUGAGAAUUGUGUGAUUCUAAAGAAUAAAUCUACCCUAAACCCUUUAUUUUCAACUAUGUAAGGUGCCGUGUAUGCAUCUAAGCCUAAAUGAUGUCACUUCUACAAGUUAGAGUUUUAUAUGAUUUCACUGAAGGACUUGAUUGGUAGUAUCGUCUCCAACAAUGAGAAGAGAUUAAAAAGGGUAAUGUGAGGGAGAUCAAAAUUUUAAAUGAAAUGAUGUGUCACCAAUAAGAAAUAAGCACGUUAAUCAGCGCUUAAGUAAUAAUCUAAUUAUCAACCAUCACAUCAUUUGGUUUGCAAAUUUAAUCUCCCUAAUAUUAUCCGGUUAAAAAUAUGCAUUUUUGGUCAAACUAUUGUGCCUCAAUUUUAAUUUUAGGCGAAACGAUUUUGUUUAUGUCAAUUUUAUCAUUGUCUUUAAUAUUGUUAUCAAUUUGAAGACAUUUGAAAUUGCGGUGAUUAAGUUAGAUUGAAUUGAGACUGGAAAAACACAAUAAUUUUGUUUUCACAUGACUGAUUAAUAUUUAUUGCCAUACUAACCGGUUAGUACUAAAAAACUAUGGAUUAUAUAUACACACGCUAAGGUCAUAUGAACAUAUGAAACGAGUAUAAAUGAAGAUGCUUUAGCCCAAGACGUAUGAAAAAAGGUGUAUACCAGUCUAAUCUUGAAAAUAAGCCACCUUGAAUAAGAAUUUUCCAACACUUGUCGUUGUUCAGAUCACAAUCUAGUUUAAUUGUCAUUUUCUACGCGGAGUCUAGACUUUGAAAUAUGGAACCCCAGCAGUUUUGGAGUAUAAUGGAUCUCAACGACUUUUCAAGGAAAUUGGAAAUGCCGACGAUGGCUACAAGAGCGAUGCUGACUUGGUGCAUCUUUCUACAGUGAUCAAAUCUUUAAUACGCAACACAAUAAUAAAUUCCCUACAUAACCACCACAACAAAACACAAUAAUACUUAAAUAAGAACCAUGGGUGCGUAUCUGCCACAAUGAAAACUACUUUUGAGAAAUUAAGGACUCGUUUUGAAGUGUUUUAAAACUAAAUGAAAGUGUUUUUUUUUUUUUUUUUGAAAGCCCUACUAAAAAUUCAAGUAGAUCGUGAAAAAGUACUUUAAGUGUUUCAUGUAAGAAGUACAUAUUUUGUGAUUCUUCUGAAAAACACUUAAAUUGAUUUUAGACUUAAAUUGAUUUUAGACUUCAAAGUCAAUUUCAUUAUAAGCACUUUCAAUCAUUUUACAAACACUUCCAAAUGAGUCCUAAUUUAUUUCGCAUGAGGAAAAAAACUAUAUAUAUAUAUAUAUAUAUAUAUAUGUGUGUGUGUGACUUUGAUCUGUUCAACAAUUAGAAUUUAUAAAUCAAUGAUUCACGCAACGUGACAAGAAUUAUCCUCAUAGAGAGGCAGCGAAUAUUAGUGUAACAUUGAUAAAUUUAUGGGUUUUGUUUCAAAGACAUGGACCAAACUCUGAUGGACGUUAAACCACAUAGAUAGAUGGAUUGUGAAAAUUGACCACAAUUUUGUUUAUUUAUUUAGGUUAAUCAAUUUCACUUGAAUUGAAACACCUCUUCCUAACUACGCAUCUGGCAGUUUUCAUGAUGUUAUCAUAUUUUUUAUGCAACUGCUGGUAGUCAUUGUCAUCAGUGGUCCACGCAGUGAUUGACGGGAUAAUGGGUCGUCGCCUAAUUGAUAAUAGUUUGGGGGAAAACACUCUAUAUUACCAAGGCCUAUAUAUAUAAUCAAUAUAUGUUAGUUAAGUUAUAUAUUUCUCCAAUAGCUUCAUGCAUUUUUCCAACGUAUACAAAACUGGAAAAGCUCUCAUGGCUUCCAUAUUGCUACUACUUGUAGUCUUGAUGCCAGCCCUGCAAAUAACAGGUCUUGCUUACUUUCAUGCCUGUCUGUAGUUUGCAUUUUUAUUUAUGCCUUUUACAAUAUGAUUACUGUUUUCUAGCUUAAUUGAUUGGACUGACGUGAGUAAUUUUCUCCAACAAUUGUUUCGAUACUAUAUUUACAUGUUUUAGUUAAGAGUCCGCUUGAUAUUCAUUUGGUUAUUGAUAUUAAUUAUUUUUUUUUUGUGCUUGAGGAAAGUAUAAAGAAGAAAGGAAGGGUGAAGUGAAAUCAACUCGAAAUAACUUUUGGUUUUCUUUUUGUAUGCCCUUAUAAUUAAUCAAAAUUGUUUUCUAAUAUUGGUUAGAACGAAAAUUCUAAAUUUUUAUAUUUAUGAAUCUCUACAAGAUAAUUGAUGAAUGUCAAUAUAUAAAUUCUUAUCUAAAUUUGAAGUUUAUUUCUCUCUUUCAAAUUGAACAUUAUUUUACAUCUCUCCCUUAUACCAACCUUCAACCACUCCUUCAUUCCUCAUUUUCACCAUAUACGCUCCUCAUAACUCAAGCAUGAAAAAUAAAAACUAGAUAAUUUUAUUUUUACAAAUAACUGAAAAUCCAUGCAGCAAAAGAAAAGAGCCUCGUUUGGCUCUCUUCUGUUACUCUUUUCUAUGGUGUUGAUCCAAUUGUCAAAUAUCCUAUUUUGAUGAAAUUGUAGCUAUGGAGUAUUUAACUAGAAGUUUCAUCCUUUCAAACAUUUCUUACGGGAAAUUCUACUUUUUUCUCUCCCACAACCCAAAACUCACCACAUUUUGUAUCGAAUCAUCUACUUAUUUCAGGUGCACAAUCUGUUGGUGUUUGUUAUGGACGAAACGGCAACAAUUUACCAGCUGAAGGAGAAGUGGUCGACUUGUACAAAAGCAAUGGCAUCGGGCGGAUGAGGAUCUAUGAACCAAAUGAAGCAACCUUGCAAGCCCUAAGAGGUUCCAACAUAGAACUCACUGUCACCAUCCUCAACAACGAGCUUCAAGCCCUCAAUGAUGCUGCAGCUGCAACUGCCUGGGUCCAGAAGAACGUACAACCCUAUUCAGCUGAUGUUAAAUUCAAAUACAUCGCUGUUGGAAACGAAGUGCACCCCGAUGCUGCAGAGGUCGGGUUUCUCCUGCCUGCCAUCCAAAACAUCCACAGUGCAAUUGUAGCAGCCAAUCUGCAAGGCCAAAUCAAAGUCUCUACAGCAAUUGACACAACUCUUGUGACCAAUGCCUACCCUCCCUCCGAUGGAGUAUACACUGACCCUGCAAACCAAUUCAUAAAACCAGUCAUCGACUUCCUCGUCAGCAAUGGGGCCCCACUCCUUGUGAAUGUGUACCCUUACUUCAGCUACAAUGACAACCCUGGUAGCAUAGACCUUGCCUAUGCCUUGUUCACUUCACAAGGGGUUGUAGUGCCGGACGGGACUCGAUACCCUAGCCUCUUUGACGCUCUUCUGGACGCUCAGUACGCAGCUCUUGAAAAAGCUGGUGCACCAAAUGUGGAGAUAGUCGUAUCGGAGAGUGGUUGGCCUUCUGAAGGUGGAAAUCAAGCAACCCCUCAGAACGCAGCCACAUUCUACCAGAAUUUGAUCAAGCAUGUGACGAGUACUACUGGGACUCCAAAGAGGCCUGGUAAAGCUAUAGAGACUUAUCUUUUUGCUAUGUUUGAUGAGAACCUCAAGGAAGGUAAUGCAGAUGAGAAACACUUUGGAAUUUUCUCCCCUGACAAACAACCCAAGUACCAACUCACAUUUGGAUAGGAGGAGUCACAGAAUCAUGUCUGAUGUAAACUUUAGUUGAAUAAGGGUGCCUUGUGCCCAGGUCUCUCACCCCAUAAAUAUGAGAUACAAUAAAAAGAAUACACAUGGUUAUCAUGAAUUCGGAUGUUGAUGAAGUUGUUCUUGAUGAUAUUAUUGUUGGAAUUUGAUAGUUAUUUUGUUGAUUUCUGGAAUUUCUCAAUUUGGUUACGAGUUUGAAGGAAGAAGAAGAUAAGAUCAGAGAGAGAAGAAUGUAUUCUGUAUUUGUGAUCAUUAAAACCAAAUUGAAAAAGAUAGAAAUUUUUAGCUGUUGGAGAAAAAACAGAGAUAUAACAAGAAAAACAAAAAAAGAAGAAAUGUACUUGUUUAAUUUCUGCUCAAAAACAAUAAAACAACACCACCUAACAUGUGCCUGUAAAAAUAACCCGAUCAAAUGAAAAAAAAAAAAAAAGGUACUUUCUUCAUCAUAUAAUAACAAUAGAAAAAAAGAGUGUAUAGGGGAUGGUGGGUGGCGACGAUUUUGGAG
rnacentral:lncRNA from 1 species